UGCAGAUGGCUCACGUACAUUUUUGCGUGCUGUGUUCUCGCCGCUCAGUUUGCGUAGAAGCGAUAGACAGCACGAAGGUCACUUCGCUCGCUGCGGCUGCCGCGCUUCUACUAGCAUGGCACUUGUUCAACUCGUGCCCGGCGCCUGGCGACCACUUCGGGGUCGGUCGACUCACGGUCUUCCUGUCGUCGCUCGCGUUGCUGCUCCGCCCUUCUCGCACGGCGAUGGGAAACUGGACCACGAGACGAACCCGGUACCUCCCUAGCACAACCCGUAGCAACUGCCACACGAGGUUCCUGGCUACCCGAACUGUUGCUACGGGGAGUGGCUCUGUUGGCAGGGAGGACAUCACAAGUGCGGACUGCUGGCUUUGGAAUGUCGGUAGCUGUGCUGUCACUCAUCGUGACGUCAUCCUCGGCUGCACCAUAUGGCUCGCCGAUUGAUCUUGGCCCAGCGGCUGAACUUCCCGGAAUUUUCUACACCGACAGCUUCUGCAGGUCCGGCCGUGGUUAUCCACUCACGGAGUGGCUCGUUCACAGCCGUCCAGCGUCAUCGACAAUGCCAUCACCACCCGCACCGGAUCACCGGUAGAUUAGAUACCGAUUCUGCAUCGCAAGUUGUGUCGUAGGGAAUCGCGAGGGCCAGUGGAAACUCAUCUCCUCUGUCUGUCCUCUAUACCAAAGUCAGAAGCAUUCUCAAUAAACGCACCAACUUACCUUU